UGAGAGUUAAAAUCAUGGGGUGGAUCUGCGCCUCCUUUGCCACCGCCGUCUUCAUAGCACCUCUGAGUAUCAUCGUAAGAACCUGCCGUUCGUCUAACCAUAUUUGUUCACUACAAGAGCAGCAAUUUUUUAAAAAAAUGAGCUUUAUAAAAUGGAGGGCAAGUUGAAUUAUCAUCUAAGACAAUGAGAGAAAUAAUUGAGAUCUUCUUAACUAGCAAACUAAACACAUGACAACAUGGAAAAGAGAAAUAACUCUAGAUUCAAGAAGAUUGAUAACAAUACAGACAAAUUAAUAUGCUACUGUGUUGCAGAGACAAGUGAUACGAACCAAAAGCGUCGAAUUCAUGCCGUUUACUCUGUCGUUAUUCCUCACUCUCAGUGCGGUCGCAUGGUUCUGCUACGGCCUCAUGCUGAAAGAUAGCUACAUCGCAGUAAGUUUCCAUAUAUAUGUAUAUUUAGGGUGUCACAGAAUACUUGUUAUAUCCUAUCAUUUAAGAAUUAUUUAUUUUUUAGUUUUUAGUAAAAAAAAAAAAAAAAAAAAAUUGAUACUAUCAUUAGAUUACGCAAUUUUUAUCUUGGCUAGUAGCUAACCAACAUGAUUCAAAUGUGAUUGAAUCAGCUUCCGAAUGUGGUCGGUGUCUUAUUCGGUUUGGCCCAGAUGCUUCUCUAUUUCAUCUACAUGAACGGAAAGAAGGAAACACCAGUAUCAGAAAUUACCGACCAGGACAAGAACCCCGCAACACUAGCAAACCCGAAUGCCGAUAUAGAGAUGAACAAGGAGAGCAUCGGAGUUACGACUCCGGAAGUCGAGAGUUCGAUGUCCGUGGCCGGAAAGAACGAGGCAUAGAGCUACCAAACUAACCUCCUCCUCCACCGCAAACUGACUGACAUUGCAGGAUGUUUUAAGCAGCAUAAGUUUUUUCUUUUUCUUUUUUUUUCCUUUUUAUGUUUCAUUAAGUGCCUUCUAGCUGUGUUCUUGUGUCAGUGACAAGUAGUGAAAAUAAGUAACUCCGUAGAACUCCUGCAUGUCUAGAGCACAAAUAAGGAAUGUAAUUUGUAUCCGCAUGAUAUUUGUGAGCAAUUUAAAUCAGAAUUCUAUACAUUCGGAGAUGCAUGCGAUAUAUGGAGAAAGAUCGAUAUGCAGAUUUUCAACUCACAUCUUAAUCUAGAAUGAAAAAAAGGGGUUUCGCAUAAAUUCUGAUUCUGGCAAAUUCGAUUUUGAUUCCAAACUCAAGAAAACAAGGAACAAAACAGCUUGCAUUUUUAUUAUGAUUCCAAAUAAUCGGACUCUAAUUGACGAGAACACGACUUAAAUUUACUACAAUAAGUUGCUGCUGCCCCUACGCGCGCUGAUACUGAUACCGAAUGAAUCUGGCAAUUAAACAGAAGCAAAAUUUUGACCUGAACAACAAGUAAUUCCAUAGAAGAUAAAAUAAAGUGCACAUUACAAAUGCUGUUUUGUCCUUGCCAACCUCUUUAAACUAAACAAACUACACUAAUUAAUCUUGCACAGACGAAAUUAAUCAGUAAACUUUGUACUAUAGGAAUUACUGAACAAAUCAUGAGAAUCCUAAUUCGAUUAAAUUGCGACACCCCAAUUUUUCUUGAUAAGAAUCAUUCCAUAUGCCAUUCAUGUUUUUCGUUACGUAGUUUUAGUCGAUUAAAUUGAAAAUUUGGUAAAAUUAAUCGACAAUUCGCUCUAAUUUCACAAUUCUGAAUAUUUUGAACGCAAGGAAAUGCCGAAAAGGACAAGUAACUAAAAAACACUAAUUCAAUUGACCAAGUAACUCACAUCAAAACAUAUAUAAGUUGAGGAAGUGCAAAAACAAUAAUAAUAAUAAUAAUAAUAAUAAUAAUAAUAAAGUUUAGAAGCCUAUUUCAAAACCGUGCAUAGUUGAGGGGUCUACAUUCAUUUUUAGCUAAAUAUUUAUAUUAGUUGCUUGCACUGUAGACGGUUCUGAUUCGACUAUCUAAGCUUUAAAAACUUGAUUUUAGCACCCAACAUUUUAAUUUAUUGGAUUUACGUCAUUUGAGGACUCUUAUGAUGCAAAAUUUAAGCUGAUUAUUUAUUUUCAUAAAUUUAUAGUUGAUAAAUUGCAUAAAAUAUGCUGAUUAAGCCUGUAAAGAUAAACGACGCAUUCAAUUUUUGAAGUUAAAAUGUUAUGAACAAAAUUCAACAAAAUUCUCAACUAAAGCAAGCAGAAUUAAAUUACUCAAUUCGAGAAAAUCCAAAAGUUGAAGGUACAUCAAUCAAAAAAUUCAAAGUUGUGGGACCAAUUUCAGAAUAGCAUAAAACUCUUUCCCAUUCGAGAAAGAGAAACCCUAGAGGAGGGAGAACACAUCGAGCGAUCUCAAAGUCCAACAAAAAAUUUAAAAAAUAAAAUAAAAUAAACAUUCACGAUCAAGAGCAAUCAAAGGAAAGAAACAACCAAUCGGAUCCAAACAAAUUACUGGACCAAAAAAAAAAAUGCAAUUGAAAAAAUUAAAAUAAAAAAGAUGAGGAAUUGUACGGACGAACCAUGUGAUCCACGUGGAGAAGAGAUCUGAGGAUAUUUUUAGCAAUAAUAAUAAAUAAAUAUUAAAUUAAAAUUAAGCAAUCGCUUGCUUAGAGAAGAGGAAAAAGAAAAAAAAAAAUUUGAAAGAGAGAGAGAGAGAGAGACAGGGGAUGUGGGGGAAAGCGAUUUUGUAUCACACACGCGAGAUGGUAAAAAUGAUGUCGAACCCCUCAACUAUCCCUUCUUCUGAAACCGCCCUUUUUCCUUUUAUUUUGUUUGAGUGGCUAAAAUUGCACUCCUGGUCC
rnacentral:lncRNA from 1 species